rnacentral:sRNA from 1 species
AGGAAUAUGGGCUGAGGGUGAUAUUUCACUGAGACAGCCUCUGAACAGGCAGACAUCUUUGGUUGUAUAAACCAAAAAAUAUCUGAGACAGGUCUCAAUCAAUUGAGAAGUUUAUUUUGCCAAGGUUAGGGACACAUCCAGAAGCAAAAAACACGGAAUCAUAGAAACCGUCUGUGGCAUGUGCCUUUCUUCAAAGAUGAUUUGGAGGCCUUCAGUAUUUAAAGGAGAAAAGCAGGCUGGAGGGGAAAGAGGGAAGUUCUGGUACUCACAUGUUGCAGGAGAAAAGGCGCAGGCAGGGGAAGUCAGUUAUGUAUUCUUCCUGCGCUCAGUAAGUCAGCACUUUCUGUAAGAUAAGGUGGACAUAGAGGAACUACCUGUGGAGAUAUUUCAGCUUUUAUCUGUAUCUAUCUGCUUACAAAAGAAACAAAAGGAAAGGCAGCUUGCACAACUCAGCUUCAGCUUAAAUUGUUCCUUUUGGUAUUGUGAAUCGUGGUCCUAGUUUUUAUUUUCCUUUCACAGAUGGGAGCAGUGUGAUGAUUUAUUUAUUUAUUUGAGACAGAAUCUCACUCUGUCACCCAGGCUGGAGUGCAGUGGUGCAAUCUCGGCUCACUGCAACCUCCACUUCCCAGGUUCAAGCGAUUCUUCUGCCUCAGCUUCCCAAGUAGCUGGGAUUACAGGCGUGCACCACCACGCCCAGCUAACUUUUGUAUUUUUAGUAGAGAUGGGGUUUCGCCAUAUUGGCCAGGCUGGUCUCAAACUCCUGACCUCAAGCAAUCUGCCCGCCUCGUCCUCCCAAACUGCUGGGAUUACAGAGCAGGGUGAUGAUUGUUGAUGCUGCACUUGCCCUUUUAGAAAUCUUAGCACUCAUUGUGAGGGUCCUAGAUGCCAAUUUCAUUUUGCCUCUGGAUGCUUUGUCUGCUUCCAAUCUCUCACCUUGCUGCCCAGUCAGUCCCUUCUUGGGAAAUGCAUCCACCUUGGAUUUUUUGGGGCUAGAGCCCAGCCUUUAACCUGUGCUUACUUUUGAAGAUACAUGAUCACGGAUAUCAUCGGGAAGGAUGAUGGCUUGGGCGUGGAGAAUCUGAGGGGCUCAGGCAUGAUUGCUGGGGAGUCCUCUCUGGCUUACGAAGAGAUCGUCACCAUUAGCUUGGUGACCUGCCGAGCCAUUGGGAUUGGGGCCUACUUGGUGAGGCUGGGCCAGCGAGUGAUCCAGGUGGAGAACUCCCACAUCAUCCUCACAGGAGCAAGUGCUCUCAACAAGGUCCUGGGAAGAGAGGUCUACACAUCCAACAACCAGCUGGGUGGCGU